rnacentral:rRNA from 1 species
AUUGAACGCUGGCGGCAUGCCUUACACAUGCAAGUCGAACGGCAGCACGGGAGCAAUCCUGGUGGCGAGUGGCGAACGGGUGGGUAAUAUAUCGGAACGUGCCCAGUCGUGGGGGAUAACGUAGCGAAAGCUACGCUAAUACCGCAUACGAUCUAUGGAUGAAAGCGGGGGAUCGCAAGACCUCGCGCGAUUGGAGCGGCCGAUAUCAGAUUAGGUAGUUGGUGAGGUAAAGGGCUCACCAAGCCGACGAUCUGUAGCUGGUCUGAGAGGACGACCAGCCACACUGGGACUGAGACA